rnacentral:piRNA from 1 species
UUGUCAAAAGCUGUUCUACCUCUCAGAGCCA